GAGUUUGAUCCUGGCUCAAGACGAACGCUGGCGGCGUGCCUAACACAUGCAAGUCGAGCGGAGUAUUUAAUGAAUAUUUCUUCGGAAUGAUUCAUUAAAUAUCUCAGCGGCGGACGGGUGAGUAACGCGUGAGAAACCUGCCUUUCACAAAGGGAUAGCCUCGGGAAACUGGGAUUAAUACCAUAUAAAGUUUCAUCUUAGCAUUAAAAAAAAACCAAAGCGUAAAGCGGUGAAAGAUGGUCUCGCGUCCCAUUAGCUAGUUGGUGAGAUAAAAGCCCACCAAGGCGACGAUGGGUAGCCGGCCUGAGAGGGUGAACGGCCACACUGGAACUGAGACACGGUCCAGACUCCUACGGGAGGCAGCAGUGGGGAAUAUUGCACAAUGGAGGAAACUCUGAUGCAGCGACGCCGCGUGAGCGAUGAAGGCUUUCGAGUCGUAAAGCUCUGUCCUUGGGGACGAUAAUGACGGUACCCAAGGAGGAAGCCCCGGCUAACUACGUGCCAGCAGCCGCGGUAAUACGUAGGGGGCGAGCGUUGUCCGGAUUUAUUGGGCGUAAAGGGUUCGCAGGCGGCCUUUUAAGUCAGAUGUGAAAUCCCAUGGCUUAACCAUGGUAAGCAUUUGAAACUGAAAGGCUUGAGUUAAGGAGAGGAAAGUGGAAUUCCUAGUGUAGCGGUGAAAUGCGUAGAUAUUAGGAGGAAUACCAGUGGCGAAGGCGACUUUCUGGACUUUAACUGACGCUGAGGAACGAAAGCGUGGGUAGCAAACAGGAUUAGAUACCCUGGUAGUCCACGCCGUAAACGAAGAGGGUAGGGGUGGGGGGUCAACCCUCGGGCCCGAAGGAAACGCAUUAAGCACUCCCGCCCUGGGGGGUACGUCGCCAAGUUGAAACUCAAAGGAAUUGACGGGGACCCGCACAAGCAGCGGAGCAUGUGGUNUAAUUCGAAGCAACGCGAAGAACCUUACCAGGGCCUGACAUGCCUCUGACCUAUCUAGAGAUAGAUAUUUACCUUCGGGUACAGAGGACACAGGUGGUGCAUGGUUGUCGUCAGCUCGUGUCGUGAGAUGGUGGGUUAAGUCCCGCAACGAGCGCAACCCUUGUCUUUAGUUGCUAACAAGUAAAGUUGAGCACUCUAGAGAGACUGCCGAUGAUAAAUCGGAGGAGGGUGGGGAUGACGUCAAAUCAGCACGGCCCUUACAUCCAGGGCUACACACGUGUUACAAUGGCCGGUACAAAGGGCAGCUACACAGCGAUGUGAUGCUAAUCUCCAAAUCCGGUCUCAGUUCGGAUCGAAGUCUGCAACCCGACUUCGUGAAGCUGGAUUCACUAGUAAUCGCGCAUCAGCCACGGCGCGGUGAAUACGUUCCCGGGCCUUGCACUCACCGCCCGUCA
rnacentral:rRNA from 1 species